CCUGAGUAGUAAUUGAUAUGUUCUUGAAACUUAAAAAAUUUGGCGGUAUUUUAGUCUAUUCAGAGGAACCUGUCCUAUAAUCGAUAUUCCACGAUGGACCUUUCUUACCCUUGCAUUCAGCUUAUAUACCGUCGUUAUUAGAAUAUUUUAAAAGAAAAAUAAUUUUCUCAAGGUUCUAUAAAACUAUAUAUCAGAUCAAGGUGUAGCUAAUGGGUAAGUAAGGAUGGGUUACAAUAAAAUUACUUAUACGGAUUCAAUUAUGAAAAAAUUGGUUAAGGUGGAUUUGAUAGUAAAAUUGUAUAGAUAAGCAAUUUGAUUUUAGCUCUAAAAUAUGCACACAUCGCCCGUCGCUCUUAUUUUAAGGUAAGAUAAGUCGUAACACAGUAGAUGUACCGGAAGGUGUACCUAGAAUGGCGGUUUAAAGCUUUAAAGAAUAGUAUUUCAUUUACAUUGAAAAGGAUUAUGUGCAAUUCAUUAUAAACUGAGUAUAUUUUAUUUAUUAAUUUUGUUGUUAACUUGAAUAUAUUUUUACAAAAAUAAUUUACAAGAGAAUUGUUUUAGUAUUUGUGAAGAAAAAAUAAAAUUUAUAAUAGUUUAUUAGUAUUGUAAAAGAACAUUGAAAUAAUUGAAAAA
rnacentral:rRNA from 1 species